rnacentral:rRNA from 1 species
GACGUAGGGCGCGAGCGUUGUCCGGAUUUAUUGGGCGUAAAGAGCUCGUAGGCGGCUUGUUGCGUCAGCUGUGAAAACUGGAGGCUUAACCUUCAGCUUGCGGUUGAUACGGGCAGACUUGAGUUCGGUAGGGGAGACUGGAAUUCCUGGUGUAGCGGUGAAAUGCGCAGAUAUCUGGAGGAACACCGGUGGCGAAGGCGGCGAUCCUGGACCGACACUGACGCUGAGGAGCGAAAGCCAGGGGAGCAAAGCGGG